CACUCCUGCGGGAGGCAGCAGUGGGGAAUAUUGGACCAUGGGCGCAAGCCUGAUCCAGCCAUGCCGCGUGAGUGAUGAAGGCCCUAGGGUUGUAAAGCUCUUUCACCGGUGAAGAUAAUGACGGUAACCGGAGAAGAAGCCCCGGCUAACUUCGUGCCAGCAGCCGCGGUAAUACGAAGGGGGCUAGCGUUGUUCGGAUUUACUGGGCGUAAAGCGCACGUAGGCGGACUAUUAAGUCAGGGGUGAAAUCCCGGGGCUCAACCCCGGAACUGCCUUUGAUACUGGUAGUCUUGAGUUCGAGAGAGGUGAGUGGAAUUCCGAGUGUAGAGGUGAAAUUCGUAGAUAUUCGGAGGAACACCAGUGGCGAAGGCGGCUCACUGGCUCGAUACUGACGCUGAGGUGCGAAAGCGUGGGGAGCAAACAGGAUUAGAUACCCCAGUAGUCCCAU
rnacentral:rRNA from 1 species